UGUCAGUGUGUUCUGUCUGUAAUCAAUAGCAGCAUCGUUGCCCCACAUGUCAGCUUUUCUGUUUUUCUGCAGGUAUCUCCAGAUCCAUCUGGGUCAGUCAUCCACGUAACAAAGAAACGCAAAAGAACCCAUAAAAAAGAAUACCAUCGGACACCCAAUGUGCAGAGAGAGAAAAAAAAUGUACAAACAAUAAAAGUGUCUGGGGUCCUGUCAGAGUUCGUGAUCUACAGAUACACUCAAAUUGCGGUCCUGCACAGCAGCAUGUUUCAGUUCCUGGAGCUCGCCAUUCGGCUGCAUUUUUGAAGUCCCCAGGAGCCACCUGGAAGACAAGCACCUUUGCGGUGUGGCCUAGUGCGGCCCCAUGAGCCCUAUAUCUUGCCAGUGUCAUGAACUGAAGUGUUGCGGGGAACCACAACAUCGAGACAGUGAGUGCUGCUGUUGGAGGGCUCCGCACUCUGUCUCUCUCGAUGAGGGGGAUCACAAAGCCAAGGAAAGAGGACCGGGUUGAGACCACAGAGGCCUUUGGAGAAGAGGAGUUCGGUGGGUAAUACCGUUCCGCCUGACCGGAAGUGCACCGACAGCGAAUCAUACGACAGAGGGCAAGAAGCUGUUCCUGAAUCACUGAGUGUGUGCCUUCAGGCUGAUGUACCCCCUUCCUGACAGUAACAAUGAGAAGAUGGCAUGUCCUGGGUGAUGGGUGAUGGGGGUCCAUAAUGAUGCACGCCGCCAUUCCGAGGCACUGCUCCUUGAAGAUGUGUUGGAUGCUACAGAGACUGGUACCCAAGAUGAAGCUGACUAACUUUAAAACUUUCUGUAGCUUCUUUCAGUCCUGUGCAGUAACUCCCCCUCCCCACCGCCAACCCCAUAUACCAGACAGCCCUAGGGCCUCCGGCUGUGAAUUUUUCCUUCAGGGUUUACUUCCGAAGCCAUCCCCAUGAGGGUGUAUAGCCACAAGGGAGCAGAGGUCUGAGAUGAGUUUUCCCUUUCCUAGAUAAGCUGCCAACCACAGCUGAUGAGCCCAAUCUACCCAAAAAGACUAGCUUUAAGAUGUUAGUAACCCUCCUUUGAUCCUUCUUCCGUCAGUAGAAAUGGUUUCGCCGGGCUUCGUAGCUUAACUAGACAUGAAGGUCAGGCUGUUUGAGGCACAUGCCAUUGGGAGCAUUUAAUAGGUAAUGGGAGCUUUUUCCCACUACCUAUUAAAUAGAUUUAUGCAGUCAUAGUAAAGUACAGCAUAGAAACAGAAUUUUUGGCUCAUCUAGACCAUGCUGAACCAUUUAAACUGCUUACUCUUACUGACCUGCACUGGGACCAUAUCCCUCCAUACUCCUCCCAUCCAUGUACCAAUCCAAACUUCUCUUCAAUGUUGAAAUCGAGCUCACAUGCACGACUUGCGCUGGAAGCUCGUUCCACACUCUCACAACUCUCUGAGUGGAGAACUGUCUCCUCAUGCUCCCCCUUAAACUUCUUACCUUUUACCCUUAAUCCAUGACCUCUGGUUGUAGUCCCGACCAACCACAACGGAAAAAGCCUGCUUGCAUUUACCCUAUCUAUACCCUGCAUAAUCUUGUUCACUCUAAGGUUUUACAAUAAAUAUUGGAUAAGUUUGAGAUGCUUUAAAGACGAUACCCCUCUCUUUGUUGAAGAGCCUUCCUGAUUUUACAAGAAGCUUGCAGA